AAGUAGACACUAGCCGUGUGUUUGUUGUGCGUAACGUUAUUUAUAACCAUUAGCACGGUGCGCUGAGGAUCGGGAAGUGAAAUAAAUCUGCAAGUUGUGAUCUGUUGUUGAUUUGAAGAAAGUUACUGGUGUUCUUCAACGUGUUGAGAGAAGAACAAAAAAAAUGAUGUUGUGUCCACGCUCACUCAUUUUGGAUAGGGUCCUAAAGUCUGCAGUGACCUUCCCUUACAGGAAGUUCUCAAUGAGUCAAAUAUCCCAACAAGGGAAGGUUCCAGAUAUGGCUGAAGUUCGCAACAGGCUGAGAGAAAUAGUUGGUGGAUCUACCAACUGGCAAGAUCAUCAGCAAGUGCUGGCUGAGCGUGCAACACUAGGCCAGUAUCUUGCUCGAGUCAGGAUCAACUGCCUACAAAAAGAAUGAAGGACAGUAUGAUAGAGGCGCAUCUUCCUCUGGGUUCCCAGCCUGCCUUGAGAGAGAAAUAUCUUAACUCUCACAACAGCGUCAGGUUUGGUCGUAUUUUGGAGGACUUGGACUGUUUAGGAGUGCUCAUCUGUUACUCUCACACAUGGAAUAAGGAGCUGAAAAGAUCUCCACUGUCUAUUGUCACCGCCCUAGUGGACAAGAUCGGUAUUGCUUCUUGAAGUAGUAUACGUU